AUGAACGCUGGCGGCGUGCCUAAUACAUGCAAGUCGAGCGAACAGAUGAGGAGCUUGCUCCUCUGACGUUAGCGGCGGACGGGUGAGUAACACGUGGAUAACCUACCUAUAAGACUGGGAUAACUUCGGGAAACCGGAGCUAAUACCGGAUAAUAUAUUGAACCGCAUGGUUCAAUAGUGAAAGACGGUUUUGCUGUCACUUAUAGAUGGAUCCGCGCCGCAUUAGCUAGUUGGUAAGGUAACGGCUUACCAAGGCAACGAUGCGUAGCCGACCUGAGAGGGUGAUCGGCCACACUGCAACUGAGACACGGUCCAGACUCCUACGGGAGGCAGCAGUAGGGAAUCUUCCGCAAUGGGCGAAAGCCUGACGGAGCAACGCCGCGUGAGUGAUGAAGGUCUUCGGAUCGUAAAACUCUGUUAUUAGGGAAGAACAAAUGUGUAAGUAACUAUGCACGUCUUGACGGUACCUAAUCAGAAAGCCACGGCUAACUACGUG
rnacentral:rRNA from 1 species